ACUACUAAUACUAUCAUCUGGACCAUCACUCCAAUCCCCGACUAGUCCUGGCUACGUUCUCAUUUCCUGAAGAGAACAGUGAAAGAAAGGGUGAGCUCAACUAGCCCAGUAAGAAAUAUUAUGACUAAGAUAAUGCAUAAUAAAUUAUCAUUAGCCUUCAACAAUGUUAAACUGAUAAAAUACAAUAGACAUCAAGUUUAAC
rnacentral:lncRNA from 1 species